AGAAAGUAGGAAAGGCGCACGGUGGAUGCCUGGGCGCUGGGAGCCGAAGAAGGACGGGGCGAACGCCGAAACGCCCCGGGGAGCCGUAAGCGGGCGUUGAUCCGGGGGUGUCCGAAUGGGGGAACCCGCCGUCUGGGAGAGGCGGCAUCGGCGGCUGAAUGCAUAGGUCGUCGAGGGCAGACCGGGGGAACUGAAACAUCUUAGUACCCCGAGGAGAAGAAAGCAACCGCGAUUCCCCAAGUAGCGGCGAGCGAACGGGGAGGAGCCUAAACCGGUCUUUUAGGGGGCCGGGGUCGAGGGGCGUCCCAUGUGGAGUGAGAAACCGGGUUGGUAGGAGAAGGGUCUGGGAAGGCCCGCCGGAGAGGGUGAGAGCCCCGUAUCCGAAACCGACGCGGCUCCGGGGCGGACCCCGAGUAGGGCGGGGCACGAGGAAUCCCGCUUGAAUCCGGGAGGACCACCUCCCAAGGCUAAAUACUCCCCAGCGACCGAUAGCGGAGAGUACCGUGAGGGAAAGGUGAAAAGCACCCCGGGAGGGGAGUGAAAAAGGACCUGAAACCGUGUGCCGACAAGCAGUCGGAGGGCGUCACAGAGCCUGACGGCGUGCCUUUUGUAGAAUGAACCGGCGAGCGGCCGUAUGAAGCGAGGUUAAGGCCUUCAGGGCCGGAGCCGAAGCGAAAGCGCGUCUGAAGAGGGCGAGAGUUUCAUGCGGCAGACCCGAAACCGGGUGAUCUACCCCUGACCAGGGUGAAGUGGCGGUGAAACGCCAUGGAGGCCCGAACCUGUUGGUGUUGAAAAUUGGGGAGGGGCCCGCGAGGGUUACCGAGCCGAGUCGAACUCCGAAUGCCGUUGUCGGAUGCCGUGCAGUGAGACUACGAGUGAUAAGAUCCGUGGUCGAGAGGGGAACAGCCCAGACCGACGGCUAAGGUCCCCAAGGGCGGGUUAAGUGGGAAAGGAAGUGGCCGUGCGAAGACAACCAGGAUGUUGGCUUAGAAGCAGCCAUCAUUGAAAGAGUGCGUAAUAGCUCACUGGUCGAGUGCGGCUGCGCCGAAAAUGAAACGGGGCUGAAACCCGCGACCGAAGCCUCGGACAGGAGACUAUGGUAGGGGAGCGUUCCCGCGUGGGGGAAGCACGACCGCAAGGGCGUGUGGACAGGCGGGAAGUGAGAAUGCCGGUAUAAGUAACGAAAGACAGGUGAGAAUCCUGUCCGCCGAAAGCCGAAGGGUUCCUGGGGAAGGUUCGUCCGCCCAGGGUUAGUCGGGACCUAAGCCGAGGCCGAAGGGCGUAGGCGAAGGGCAACGGGUGGAGAAUCCCGUACCACCGAGGUCCGUUUGAGCGAAGGGGGGACACAGGAGGACAGGGGAGCGGCCGGCUGGAAGAGGCCGUCCAAGCGGCGAGGGUGUUGUGCAGGGAAAUCCGCACAACGGGCGCCUGAGCCGUGAAGGGGAGGGAAGCAUGAGUACCGAAGUCCCUGGGUUCACACUGGCGAGAAAAGCCUCUAGCGAGGACCUGGGUGCCCGUACCGGAAACCGACACAGGUUGGCACGGAGAGGAUCCGAAGGCGACCGGGAGAACUCUCGUUAAGGAACUCGGCAAAAUGGCCCCGUAACUUCGGGAGAAGGGGCGCUCCGGUAGGGUGAGGGAGAGAUCCUGAGCCCGAGGGAGCCGCAGAGGAGAGGCCCAAGCGACUGUUUAGCAAAAACACAGGUCUCUGCGAAGCCGGAAGGCGAGGUAUAGGGGCUGACGCCUGCCCGGUGCUGGAAGGUUAAGGGGAAGGGUGAGAGCCCUGAACCGAAGCCCCAGUAAACGGCGGCCGUAACUAUAACGGUCCUAAGGUAGCGAAAUUCCUUGUCGGGUAAGUUCCGACCCGCACGAAAGGCGUAACGACUUGGGCGCUGUCUCAACGAGAGACCCGGUGAAAUUGUAGUCCCUGUGAAGAUGCAGGGUACCCGCGGCUAGACGGAAAGACCCCGUGGAGCUUGACUGUAGCCUGAUAUGGGAGAUGGGUCGGUCAUGUACAGGAUAGGUGGGAGGCAGGGAACUCCGGGCGCCAGCCCGGGGGGAGCCGGCGUUGGGAUACCACCCUUGGCGGAUUGAUCUUCUAACCUGCGGCCGUGAACCGGUCGGGGGACAGUGUCAGGUGGGCAGUUUGACUGGGGCGGUCGCCUCCUAAAAGGUAACGGAGGCGCCCAAAGGUUCCCUCAGCGCGGAUGGACAUCGCGCGGCGAGUGCAAAGGCACAAGGGAGCUUGACUGCGAGAGAGACAACUCGAGCAGGGACGAAAGUCGGGCUUAGUGAUCCGGCGGCACUGAGUGGAAGGGCCGUCGCUCAACGGAUAAAAGCUACCCCGGGGAUAACAGGCUGAUCUCCCCCAAGAGUCCACAUCGACGGGGAGGUUUGGCACCUCGAUGUCGGCUCAUCGCAUCCUGGGGCUGAAGUCGGUCCCAAGGGUUGGGCUGUUCGCCCAUGAAAGCGGUACGCGAGCUGGGUUCAGAACGUCGUGAGACAGUUCGGUCCCUAUCUGCCGCGGGCGGAGGAAACUUGAGAGGGGCUGUCCUUAGUACGAGAGGACCGGGAUGGACCGACCGCUGGUGUCCCAGUUGUGCCGCCAGGCGCACCGCUGGGUAGCCAAGUCGGGGAGGGAGAAGCGCUGAAUGCAUCUAAGCGCGAAGCCCGCCUCAAGAUGAGGUUUCCCACACCGCAAGGUGGUAAGACCCCUUGGAGAAGACGAGGUAGAUCGGUCCGGCGUGGAAGCGCCGCGAGGCGUGAAGCGGACGGAUACGAAUCGGUCGAGGCUUUCUCAAG
rnacentral:rRNA from 1 species